CUCUGACAACUCAAUAUCUUAUAACACACACAGUAUCGUGGGCGCACUCUGACAACUCAAUAUCUUAUAACACACAGUAUCGUGGGCACACUCUGACAACUCAAUAUCUUAUAACACACAGUAUCGUGGGCGCACUCUGACAACUCAAUAUCUUAUAACACACAGUAUCGUGGGCGCACUCUGACAACUCAAUAUCUUAUAACACACACAGUACCGUGGGCGCACUCUUACAACUCAAUAUCUUAUAACACACAGUAUUCUGGUGGAUGGUACUUUUAUUAUCACUUCUGUACUAUUUUCACCAGUAUGUGGUACACUUUCACAACUCUUAGUACAAAACUCCAAACAGAUCAUCCAAAAGGCUGUUUUUUUCAAAACUUUAAUCACAUUUUCUGUUGACUAAGUACAACACAUAAUCACCAAACCUAAUCGGUGUAUCAUCUAGAAAUAACUUUCAUAUAAAGUAAUUGCCUUUCACUGUUACGGUGCGUGAAUGAGGACCCAAAAGCGAAUCAACUUAAACAGAGCUUCUUUAAUUACCAAACAUAGGUAGGCUCAGAUGGACCGGCAGAUUCCGACAGGACAGGACAAGGUUACAGCAAACAUGACGACAGUCUGGUUCAGGCAUGAAUGACACAAACAAACAAGAAUCCGACAAGGACAGGAGCAGAAACAGAGAGAGAUAUAGGGACCUAAUCAGAGGGAAAAAGGGAACAGGUGGGGAACGGGGUGAAUGGGUAGUUAGAGGAGACAAGGGACAGCUGGGGGAAAGCGGGGGAGAAAAGGUAAUCUGGUUCAGGCAUGAAUGACACAAACAAACAAGAAUCCGACAAGGACAGGAGCAGAAACAGAGAGAGAUAUAGGGACCUAAUCAGAGGGAAAAAGGGAACAGGUGGGGAACGGGGUGAAUGGGUAGUUAGAGGAGACAAGGGACAGCUGGGGGAAAGCGGGGGAGAAAAGGUAACCUAACACGACCAGCAGAGGGAGACAGGGUGAAGGGAAAGGACAGAGACAAGACAACAUGACAGUACAUGACAUUCACAAUGCAAAGCUCACAAUACUUUUGAUAUUAUUAUUUUCUCAUUUGUUUAAAUGCAUUUCACCAUCACUUAAUCCAAUUUAGCUUAAUGGUUAAUCACUUAACCGUUUGGUAGACCUGUAGAUUUGAAUACUAUACAUGAAUUUUGAGACCUACAGAAAUAACAGAAAUAAAAAGUGUUUUUAAAGUAGAAACAUCUAAAUUUGUCACGUUUGUCAUAUACAUAAUGAGCGGACCAAGGCGCAGCGUGAGUAGAGUUCCACAUAUUUAUUAAAGUUAACCUUCAAAAGAACAACAAAGAAUACAUGAACGUGCAGUUCGUAGCGCACAUAGCACAUAGCACAUAGCACAAAAGCAAAACAAAACAAUAUCCCACGAACGCAGGUGGGAAAAGGACCACACUAAGUAUGAUCCCCAAUUAGAGGCAACGAUCAUCAGCUGCCUCCAAUUGGAAACCAUACUCACACCAACAUAGAAAUUCAAGACUAGAACACCCCCUAGUCACACUCUGACCUAUUGCACCAUAGAGAACCCCAAGGGCUCUCUAUGGUCAGGGCGUGACAAAAUUACAUGUAUGAUACAUGAUAACCAUCCAUAAUGAAUAUUCAUUAUUGCUAACUGAUUUCACUUAGUGGUAACCACAAUUGGUCACCAUAUAAAAGGGGGUUACAGUAUUCUUACAGUAGGAUCUACUGACAGUAUGCUCGGUUCUACCCUCUUCUGUCUGGCUGUCACGCCCUGACGUUAGUAUUCUUAGUUUUCUUUAUUAUUUUGGUUAGGUCAGGGUGUGACAUGGGUGAUAUGUGUGUUUUUGUCUCAUUCUAGGGUGUUUGUACUGUCUAGGGGGUUUUGUAGAUUUAUGGGGUUGUUUUCAUCUAGGUAUUUAUGUUGGUCUAUGGUUGCCUAGAUUGGUUCUCAAUUAGAGGCAGGUGUUUAUCGUUGUCUCUGAUUGGGAACCAUAUUUAGGCAGCCAUCUUCUUUGGGUAUUUUGUGGGUUAUUUUCUAUGUCAGCACAUUGUUUAUAUAUGGGUCACGGUCGGCUUAUUUGGUUUGUUGUUUUUGUUUAAG
rnacentral:lncRNA from 13 species